UUUUUUAUUGAACAAAUUUCUUUGGUGGCGGGAGCAAUCCUACCGCCAGAGGUUAUAACUAAACCAAACUUUUUAUUUACAGUCAAACUUGAUUUAUUAUUACAAUAGUCAAAACUUUCAACAACGGAUCUCUUGGUUCUCGCAUCGAUGAAGAACGCAGCGAAAUGCGAUACGUAAUAUGAAUUGCAGAUAUUCGUGAAUCAUCGAAUCUUUGAACGCACAUUGCGCCCUUUGGUAUUCCAAAGGGCAUGCCUGUUUGAGCGUCAUUUCUCCCUCAAACCCCCGGGUUUGGUGUUGAGCAAUACGCUAGGUUUGUUUGAAAGAAUUUACGUGGAAACUUAUUUUAAGCGACUUAGGUUUAUCCAAAACGCUUAUUUUGCUAGUGGCCACCACAAUUUAUUUCAUAACUUUGACCUCAAAUCAGGUAGGACUACCCGCUGAACUUAAGCAUAUCAAUAAGCGGAGGAAAAGAAACCAACAGGGAUUGCCUUAGUAGCGGCGAGUGAAGCGGCAAAAGCUCAAAUUUGAAAUCUGGCUCUUUCAGAGUCCGAGUUGUAAUUUGAAGAAGGUAUCUUUGGGUCUGGCUCUUGUCUAUGUUUCUUGGAACAGAACGUCACAGAGGGUGAGAAUCCCGUGCGAUGAGAUGAUCCAGGCCUAUGUAAAGUUCCUUCGAAGAGUCGAGUUGUUUGGGAAUGCAGCUCUAAGUGGGUGGUAAAUUCCAUCUAAAGCUAAAUAUUGGCGAGAGACCGAUAGCGAACAAGUACAGUGAUGGAAAGAUGAAAAGAACUUUGAAAAGAGAGUGAAAAAGUACGUGAAAUUGUUGAAAGGGAAGGGCUUGAGAUCAGACUUGGUAUUUUGUAUGUUACUUCUUCGGGGGUGGCCUCUACAGUUUAUCGGGCCAGCAUCAGUUUGGGCGGUAGGAGAAUUGCGUUGGAAUGUGGCACGGCUUCGGUUGUGUGUUAUAGCCUUCGUCGAUACUGCCAGCCUAGACUGAGGACUGCGGUUUAUACCUAGGAUGUUGGCAUAAUGAUCUUAAGUCGCCCGUCUUGAAACACGGACC
rnacentral:rRNA from 1 species